rnacentral:rRNA from 1 species
AGAGUUUGAUCCUGGCUCAGAACGAACGCUGGCGGCGUGGCUAAGGCAUGCAAGUCGUACGGGACACGCAGGGUAGCAAUAUUCUGUGUGUUCAGUGGCGGACGGGUCAGUAAUGCAUGGGUAACGUGCCUUGGACUCAGGAAUAACGUCGAGCCCCGCAAGGGGUUCUUUGCGAAAGUGACGCUAAUACCUGAUGACAUCCUCGGGUGGCAUCACCUGGGAAUCAAAGGUGGGGACCGCAAGGCCUACCGGUCCGAGAUCGGCCCAUGUCCUAUCAGCUAGUUGGCGAGGUAACGGCUCACCAAGGCUAAGACGGGUAGCGGGGCUAAGAGGUCGACCCGCGACAUCGGGACUGAGACACUGCCCGGACACCUACGGGUGGCUGCAGCAACGAAUAUUCCGCAAUGGGCGAAAGCCUGACGGAGCGACGCCGCGUACGGGACGAAGUCCUUCGGGAUGUAAACCGUAAUAGUCUGUUAACAAGCAACCCGGGCUAAUACCUCGGGAAGUUGAGUCGCAGACGAAAGGGACGGCUAACUCCGUGCCAGCAGCCGCGGUAAGACGGAGGUCCCAAGCGUUGUUCGGAAUUACUGGGCUUAAAGCGCGUGUAGGCGGGUCGGCGCGUACCUUGUGAAAUCCCAUGGCUCAACCAUGGAACUGCUUGGUAUACGGCCGGUCUCGAGGUAGGUAGAGGCGCCUGGAACCUUAGGUGGAGCGGUGAAAUGCGUAGAUAUCUAAGGGAACGCCGGUGGCGAAAGCGGGGCGCUGGGCCUGUCCUGACGCUGAGACGCGAAAGCGUAGGGAGCAAACGGGAUUAGAUACCCCGGUAGUCUACGCCGUAAACGAUGCGCACUAGGUACGAGGCCCACUGACGGGAAUCGUGCCGAAACAAAAGCGAUAAGUGCGCCGCCUGGGGAGUACGGCCGCAAGGCUAAAACUCAAAGGAAUUGACGG